AGUGGAAGCCAUUCAUAAAUGGGGCAAAGUUGGAAGUUCUCAAGAAAUGCAGCGCUUCCUAGACUUCACUCAUCCUGUGAAAUCGAGAUGUGCUGGCUCUCAGUGAUGCUUAGACGGAAAACCAUGCAGCCCACAGAGAGGUUGGAACCACCCACUCCCCGGUUGUCCUGAGGAGCCAUGAUUUCUCCAGGAGCUGGGUAAAGGGCACAGGGAUCAGUCUGUCAAAGGUAGGGGAGGAUUGUGAGAGGAGAGGGUCUAAGAGAGGAGGAGCAUGGGCUAGGCUCUCUAUUUGGGCUUGGCAGGGAUUGAGAGAAGGGACAGGGCUGUUAGAGGGCAGUGCGAGGGGGGUCGGAGAUGGGGGCAAGGCCUGAAAAGUUCAGCUGCUUUAGACCAACUGUGCCAGAGAAUCACUGGUUGAAGUGACUGAAAGCUCUGACCUGGGGCUGUCCAAAAUCCUCUUCCUCAGAUGGGAAUAUGCCAAAAGCUCAGCCUCUGAGGUGAAUGUUGUGGCCCUAACCUCUCUCUGCUCUGUACCUCACAGGAUUCCAGCCGGCUGUUCCAAUCCAGGAGGAAAACUGUGCCACUGAAGUCUCCCAGCACCUGUGCAGUGAAGUGCCACUUAACCCCACUGUGAUGCACAGACCUUGCCCUGGCUGUCUGCACAGGGUUGAAUUUCACCCCUUCAGAGUGUAUUCUAAGGGCCUCCCGUGCGUCAUAUGGGCAUUCUUGGGAGUGCAGACUGCAUCAGACCUGCACCUGAAUAAAUAAUAGGGACUGAAAUAUGCAGACACUAAAGUUCUGCAGCCAAAUUCUCAGAAACCUUCCUCUGCAAUGUAGGAUCAGGAUUUUGGUUUGAAUUGAUUUUUUUUUUUUAAUGUGCUGAGCAGAUGCUACCCUGUAAGAAGAGGAAACAGAAGCAAAAACUGAAAAACAGUUGCUAAAACCAAUGAACAGCUGCAGAGAGUGGAGACCCGGGAAAGCAAACAAAUGAAUACUGAAAAGGAUCCCCAAAGGAGGUGUAAGGAUCCGGGACUCUAGUGUCUGCCAGAAGCUUCAGCCACCUUCACAGGUUAGAGUUCGCCGUCCAUUGCGGAGGUGAAGACCGGAUGGGAGCUGCUGGAUUGACCUUGAUGUGCCCUGUCCUUGUGUGGAUGAAGGACCUACAUCUCAGGGAUGGCCAGUAGUAGAUGUAACACCUGUCCGGGAAUGGGCUAAAUAACCUACACUGAGAGGGAGGAGCCUAAAUUAAGUUUCCCUAAAUCCAUAAUUGGAAUAGUGAAGGAAAGCCUCCCUAGAAGACAAGCAGCUCGGAAAGAAUGGGAUGAUGACAAUACAGUAGAACCCUGCUUACCUGACCCUCCAUUAUCCGGUUCUCUGCAUUAACCCAACAACCAGUGCAC